GAUGAACGCUGGCGGCGUGUUUAACACAUGCAAGCCGAACGAAGCACUUGCUUGGAAUUCUUCGCGAGGAAGCUCAAGUGACUGAGUGGCGGACGGGUGAGUAACGCGUGGGUAACCUGCCUCAUACAGGGGGAUAACAGAUAGAAAUGAUUGCUAAUCCCGCAUAAGCACACGUGAUCCCAUGAUCGAGUGUGAAAAACUCCGGUGGUAUGAGAUGGACGCGCGUCUGAUUAGCUAGUUGGUGAGGUAAUGGCCCAUCAAGGCCACGACCAGUAGCCGGCCUGAGAGGGUGAACGGCCACAUUGGGACUGAGACACGGCCAAAACUCCUACGGGAGGCAGCAGUGGGGAAUAUUGCACAAUGGAGGAAACCCUGAUGCAGCGACGCCGCGUGAAGGAUGAAGUAUUUCAGUAUGUAAACUUCUAUUAGCAGGGAAGAAAAUGACGGUACCUGACUAAGAAGCCCCGGCUAACUACGUGCCAGCAGCCGCCGUAAGAC
rnacentral:rRNA from 1 species